GAAGGGACCUAGCGUAGUUCGGAAUUACUGGGCUUAAAGAGUUCGUAGGUGGUUGAAAAAGUUGGUGGUGAAAUCCCAGAGCUUAACUCUGGAACUGCCAUCAAAACUUUUCAGCUAGAGUAUGAUAGAGGAAAGCAGAAUUUCUAGUGUAGAGGUGAAAUUCGUAGAUAUUAGAAAGAAUACCAAUUGCGAAGGCAGCUUUCUGGAUCAUUACUGACACUGAGGAACGAAAGCAUGGGUAGCGAAGAGGAUUAGAUACCCUCGUAGUCCAUGCCGUAAACGAUGUGUGUUAGACGUUGGAAAUUUAUUUUCAGUGUCGCAGCGAAACCGAU
rnacentral:rRNA from 1 species